UGGAGAGUUUGAUCCUGGCUCAGAUUGAACGCUGGCGGCAGGCCUAACACAUGCAAGUCGARCGGUAGCACAGRGAGCUUGCUCYYGGGUGACGAGYGGCGGACGGGUGAGUAAUGUCUGGGAAACUGCCUGAUGGAGGGGGAUAACUACUGGAAACGGUAGCUAAUACCGCAUAACGUCGCAAGACCAAAGAGGGGGACCUUCGGGCCUCUUGCCAUCAGAUGUGCCCAGAUGGGAUUAGCUAGUAGGUGGGGUAAUGGCUCACCUAGGCGACGAUCCCUAGCUGGUCUGAGAGGAUGACCAGCCACACUGGAACUGAGACACGGUCCAGACUCCUACGGGAGGCAGCAGUGGGGAAUAUUGCACAAUGGGCGCAAGCCUGAUGCAGCCAUGCCGCGUGUAUGAAGAAGGCCUUCGGGUUGUAAAGUACUUUCAGCGAGGAGGAAGGYGGUGAGGUUAAUAACCUCAKCRAUUGACGUUACUCGCAGAAGAAGCACCGGCUAACUCCGUGCCAGCAGCCGCGGUA
rnacentral:rRNA from 1 species